rnacentral:rRNA from 1 species
UACGAAGGGGGCUAGCGUUGCUCGGAAUUACUGGGCGUAAAGGGCGCGUAGGCGGAUAGUUUAGUCAGAGGUAAAAGCCCAGGGGUCAACCUUGGAACUGCCUUUGAUACUGGCUAUCUUGAGUUCGGGAGAGGUGAGUGGAAUGCCGAGUGUAGAGGUGAAAUUCGUAGAUAUUCGGCGGAACACCAGUGGCGAAGGCGACUCACUGGCCCGAUACUGACGCUGAGGCGCGAAAGCGUGGGGAGCAAACAGG